UACGAAGGGGGCUAGCGUUGCUCGGUAUGACUGGGCGUAAAGGGCGCGUAGGCGGUUUGUACAGUCAGAUGUGAAAUUCCUGGGCUCAACCUGGGGGCUGCAUUUGAUACGUGCGGACUUGAGUGAGGAAGAGGGUCGUGGAAUUCCCAGUGUAGAGGUGAAAUUCGUAGAUAUUGGGAAGAACACCGGUGGCGAAGGCGGCGACCUGGUCCUUGACUGACGCUGAGGCGCGAAAGCGUGGGGAGCAAACAGG
rnacentral:rRNA from 1 species